AGUGAGGAAUUUUCCGCAAUGGGCGCAAGCCUGACGGAGCAACGCCGCGUGUGUGAUGAAGUCCUUCGGGAUGUAAAGCACUGUCGGAGGGGAUGAACAAAUGACAGUACCCUCCAAGAAAGCCCCGGCUAACUACGUG
rnacentral:rRNA from 1 species